GCGAGGAAUAUUGCACAAUGGAGGCAACUCUGAUGCAGUAACGCCGCGUGGGGGAAGAAGACCUUCGGGUUGUAAACCUCUUUUUGUAUAGACGAGUGAGGACGGUAUAUAUAGAAUCAGUCUCGGCUAACUACGUGCCAGCAGCCGCGGUAAGACGUAGGAGGCGAGCGUUAUCCGGAUUCACUGGGCGUAAAGCGCAUGUAGGCGGUUGGACAAGUCGUGUGUUAAAGCCCCUGGCUCAACUGGGGGAGGUCAUGCGAGACUGUGCGACUUGAGGGCAAGAGAGGCACGUGGAACUCCCGGUGUAGCGGUGGAAUGCGUAGAGAUCGGGAAGAACACCAGUGGCGAAGGCGACGUGCUGGGUUGCACCUGACGCUGAGAUGCGAAAGUGUGGGGAGCAAACGGGAUUAGAAACCCCUGUAGUCC
rnacentral:rRNA from 1 species